GAGUUGAUAGCUCAGUGGUAGAGUGCAGGCUUUGUGUGUAUGACGUCCUGGGUUCAAUCCACAGCUUCUUACUCA
rnacentral:tRNA from 1 species